rnacentral:snRNA from 1 species
UUUUAGAGAUCAAAACUUCUUUU